rnacentral:rRNA from 1 species
AGAGUUUGAUCCUGGCUUACGAUGAACGCUAGCUACAGGCUUAACACAUGCAAGUCGAGGGGCAGCAUGAAGUUUGCUUGCAAACUUGAUGGCGACCGGCGCACGGGUGAGUAACGCGUAUCCAACUUCCCCUUAGUAGGGCAUAGCCCGGCGAAAGUCGGAUUAAUACCCUAUGUUCUUCGUAGAGGACAUCUGAAAUGAAGCAAAGACUUGUCGCUAAGGGAUGGGGAUGCGUCUGAUUAGGUUGUCGGCGGGGUAACGGCCCACCGAGCCUACGAUCAGUAGGGGUUCUGAGAGGAAGGUCCCCCCACAUUGGUACUGAGACACGGACCAAACUCCUACGGGAGGCAGCAGUGAGGAAUAUUGGUCAAUGGACGAGAGUCUGAACCAGCCAAGUAGCGUGCAGGAAGACUGCCCUAUGGGUUGUAAACUGCUUUUAUGCGGGGAUAAAGUGCGGCACGUGUGCCGUUUUGUAGGUACCGCAUGAAUAAGGACCGGCUAAUUCCGUGCCAGCCGCCGC